rnacentral:rRNA from 1 species
GACGAACCGAGCGAACGUUGUUCGGAAUCACUGGGCUUAAAGGGCGCGUAGGCGGGUGCUCAAGUCCGGGGUGAAAUCCCACAGCUCAACUGUGGAAUUGCCUCGGAUACUGGGUGUCUCGGAGGGUGGUAGGGGUAUGCGGAACUAUCGGUGGAGCGGUGAAAUGCGUUGAUAUCGAUAGGAACUCCGGUGGCGAAGGCGGCAUACUGGGCCACUUCUGACGCUGAUGCGCGAAAGCCAGGGGAGCAAACGGG